UAUGUAUUUAAUGAUUUGUAGAUUACAUGUAAUAGAUUACACAUUUGCAAAAGGUGUCAUGUUUGGACUGUUCUUACUUGCAUUUACAAAUUUUGACCAGCAGGUGUCUCCGGCAUGUGUUGAGUGGAGCGCUUCAAAGAAUUUUUCCCACUCACAAGUGUUUGUGUCUUAAAACAGACAUUCUCUAACACCUUGAGUUAGAAGAGGUCAUGGCCAGUCGUUUUGAGACGUGGCACACCAUCGACAGGACACCAGACGGUGGCGUAAGCGGAUUCACGUUCAGUCUGACGCACCUUCAGACGCUUGAAAACAUUACAACACGUGCGGACUGUUUAAAGUAGCCUACAGAUUCUGCAGAUGACAGCUCAACGAGAGACUGAACAUCACUCAACAGCCCACCUCUUUCCUCCUGGAACAGUCCUAACCUCUCAACCUGACCUUCAUCUGUUGCAUCGCACCUGUUUUACCGCCCCAGAAAAAUGGAGAAUGCCACAGGUAUGCUGAAUGUACCAUGACAGGACCUCUGGAGAGGAACUGCACUUGUAGGCUUGGCUUUAUUGGAGAUGGAGAGACUUGCAAAGGCACCCUGCAGAAGAUCCAAAACAGAAAUUUAGGAGAAUUUUACAUGGGACUGGUGAGGAAUAAUAUUCCUGAAGUCGUGGCCCUUUCACAGUCUUUGUACCCAAUUCAGAUGCUUACAACAACCUGAGGGGUUCCCAAACACAUUCCUGGAGCCUCCCCAACACUGCGGCUGCGUCCGAAACCGCCUACUUCUCUACUAUAUAGUAGGAGAAAAGCAGUAAGCAAGCGAAUAAGUAUGUCCGAAUCCUUAGUAUUCAAAAAUGAGUAGGAGAGAAUUACCUGGGUGAUGUACUAAUUCUCGAGAGAUUAGGACGUGCGUCUACUUAAAAUGUGUCCGAAUAUGCCUACUUACCUACUAUAUAGUAGGAGAAAACAGUACGUGAAAGGAGUAGUAUGCCCGAAACCUCAGUAUUCAUAAAAGAGUAGGCGAGAAGUUCCCGGAUGGCCUACUGCAUCCUGCCCAGAUUUUCUGAAGUGUUUAUCGAUGGAUUCUUUUCUAUCCCAGCCUUCCCAGGAGGCCAUGGGAGAGGAUAUGUCAUAAUCAAACACGGAGGAGAAAAGCAACGCGGGUGUUUUCAAAUGGACAGAUGAGCACACGUGUGUUUAUCUGGUGCAGCGAGUCUGAUGAAGGAAUUCUGCCAUCAAAGGCUUUGAGACCUGCAAGGCAAGGUGACAGUGGCAUUUGUGGGGGAAAAAAGGGAAAAAGAAACAAGCAGGGAUUGAACAGCGUGAAGGCGA